ensembl:lncRNA
CCAAAGUCUUGUGAACAAAUGCUCUCUAGGUGUUUUAUUGCCUUAUUUCAGUGACUUCAAAAUUGUAGUUUUUCACUAACCACAUAUAAACGUUGCUUUCUCAAAAACACAAUCAUGUACAUACAGGCUGCUCACAUAUUAUUAUAGCCCAGUUUGUGCUGAUUACAGUGUUAUUAGACUUUAGCCAUUUAUAUGUUUAUAAGCAACUUAAUGGCUUGUUGUUGUAGUGGUAGUGAGGGCUGUAUUUUAAAAUGACCUUGACAUUGACCACACCACAGGAGAAAGCGGCUCCAUGUUGCCUCCAUAACAAUGAAUAAAGAACUCCUAUAGAUCACGCUUAAGCAUGAUGCCUUCAGUGAUAUGUAUGCACUUAUUGUAUCUAUAGACAGAUACAUUUAUAUAGAUGCAGUUUUACUUUCAAUGUUAUCUGACAGUUGAGAUAACAGAUAACUGAUAAUCAGACAAAAAUGGCAAACUGUUUAAUCAGAGACAAGCAAAAAAUAAUCUGAGCAAAAAAAAAAAAAAAAACAGAGAAAGAGAAAGAGAAAGAAAAUUACCUGUAAAUAUGCAAAUUUAUUUUUAUAAAUGUAUAAAAAUAAAUGUAUAUAUUUAUUUCUUUUUUUUUUUUUGAGUGAGACAGGCAUGUAUAGCGCGGAGUUCAGCCUUCAGUCCAUCUGCAGCGCUCCUUCUGAGGUGUUACUCCCGUGUUAGUGAACUGCUGCUCCUCAAGUGGCUCCGCUGGAGGGUUCUGGCCCCGAUGACUCAUGCCAUCUGUUAACAGCUCUUGUACGAUCACAUUUCUGUGUUCCUUCCAAUAAACAGAAAGUGAUUUUGCAGCGUUGUUUUGACGAUCCAGAGAAACACUCAGAAGAACCUACAGAAGGAGUACUACCACCAAUGUCCAAAACAUUACAAAGGACUCGUAUCUGAACACUCUGCAUCUCAAGUGCAAUGCUGCACCAGAUUAAUUUACAAACAAGGCACAAUUCGACGUGGGAUUUUCAGAAAGACUAUAUUGGAUCCAACAGUAAUGUCACAACACACAAGUGUGAGUAACUGUUUUUAUUAUGUGGUCACUAUUGCUUUGUCUCUUCUUACAGAUCGCUUGAUAUGUACUGAGUAUUUAUGCGUUCAAACAUACACAACUGUUAGCCAAUCAUAGCAGUAGGUGUUUACAGUAC